CGAUGCAAGUCGAGCGAGAAAGGUCUUCGGACUAAGUACAGCGGCAGACGGGUGAGUAACGCGUGGGAAUCUACCUUCUAGUGAGGAAUACCUCUGAGAAAUCGGAGUUAAUACUGCAUAAGUCCCUUCGGGGAGAAAGAUGGCCUCUUUGCUGUCGCUAGAAGACGAGCCUGCGUACUAUUAGCUAGUUGGUAGGGUAAAGGCCUACCAAGGCGAUGAUGGUUAACCGGCCUGAGAGGGUGAUCGGUCACAUUGGAACUGAGACACGGUCCAAACUCCUACGGGAGGCAGCAGUGAGGAAUAUUGCGCAAUGGGCGAAAGCCUGACGCAGCGACACCGCGUGAAGGAUGAAGGCUUUAGGGUCGUAAACUUCUGUUAAGUGGGAAGAAAAGGGUAGUUCUAAUACAGCUAUUUAAUGACGGUACCACUAGAGAAAGCACCGGCUAAC
rnacentral:rRNA from 1 species